UACGAGAGGCCCAAACGUUAUUCGGAAUUACUGGGCUUAAAGAGUUCGUAGGCGGCGCGGAAAGUAGGGUGUGAAAGCCCUCGGCUCAACCGAGGAAUUGCGCUCUAAACUGCCGUGCUUGAGGGACCUAGAGGUAAGCGGAACUGAUGGUGGAGCGGUGAAAUGCGUUGAUAUCAUCAGGAACACCGGAGGCGAAGGCGGCUUACUGGGGGUCUUCUGACGCUGAGGAACGAAAGCCAGGGGAGCGAACGGG
rnacentral:rRNA from 3 species